AUCGUUUCUGCUUUCUCUAUAGCAAACAGGGGACAAACAUGGAAGAAUCCUUUAAAAGCUUUUGCUAAGGUCACCAUACUCAGACUGCCACCAAAGAUUUGCUCUGCUGGUUGAGACAUUAGUAAGGCUAAAAUAUUUAAAAUUGAAAAACAUCAGAUCCUCCUGGCUGGAAGAUAAAGUGGGAAGCAAUUUUUCACACAGGAAAAGGCUUCCUAUUUUUCACUUUGGAACCCAGAAUGAGUCUUCCCUUUCUCUUUUGAAAUUUUUUUUAAAGCCAAAAUAUUAUUGGUUUUUAUUUUUUGGUUUUUUUGAAAUAAAGAGACAUAACAGAAAAGCACUAUGAAGCAGCAGACGAUCUGUGUGGCUGCAUACCUUUCUAAAAAAAGAUAAAGAAAUACACAUAGAUAAAAAUUCUUGGUUUGAUUUUUAUUCCUUUUUGCUAUUUUUACAAAGUUGAGGAAGCCUUGCUUUUUGUUAAAGUCUACUCAUUCUUCUGCACUAAAAAGAGAAAUUCCAAGGGAUCUGUGGAAGAUAACCAGACAACAUUAUUUAGAAACAAGGAAGAAACUUGUAUUUUUUAUGUUUCAAACCUGG
rnacentral:lncRNA from 1 species